rnacentral:rRNA from 1 species
AGAGUUUGAUUCUGGCUCAGGAUGAACGCUGGCGGUAUGCUUAACACAUGCAAGUCGAACGGAGUUCUUCGGAACUUAGUGGCGGACGGGUGAGUAACGCGUGAGAAUCUGGCAAAAGGUUCGGGACAACAGUUGGAAACGACUGCUAAUACCGGAUGUGCCUGUGGGUGAAAGAUUAAUCGCCUUUUGAUGAGCUCGCGUCUGAUUAGCUAGUAGGUGUGGUAAGAGCGCACCUAGGCGACGAUCAGUAGCUGGUCUGAGAGGAUGACCAGCCACACUGGGACUGAGACACGGCCCAGACUCCUACGGGAGGCAGCAGUGGGGAAUUUUCCGCAAUGGGCGAAAGCCUGACGGAGCAAUACCGCGUGAGGGAGGAAGGCUCUUGGGUUGUAAACCUCUUUUCUCAGGGAAUAAGAAAGUGAAGGUACCUGAGGAAUCAGCAUCGGCUAACUCCGCGCCAGCAGCCGCGGUAAUACGGAGGAUGCAAGCGUUAUCCGGAAUGAUUGGGCGUAAAGCGUCCGCAGGUGGUUGCUCAAGUCUGCUGUCAAAGAGUCUGGCUCAACCAGAUAAAGGCAGUGGAAACUGAGAGACUAGAGUGCGGUAGGGGCAGAGGGAAUUCCUGGUGUAGCGGUGAAAUGCGUAGAGAUCAGGAAGAACACCGGUGGCGAAAGCGCUCUGCUGGACCGCAACUGACACUGAGGGACGAAAGCUAGGGGAGCGAAUGGGAUUAGAUACCCCAGUAGUCCUAGCCGUAAACGAUGGAUACUAGGCGUUGCCCGUAUCGACCCGGGCAGUGUCGUAGCCAACGCGUUAAGUAUCCCGCCUGGGGGAGUACGCACGCAAGUGUGAAACUCAAAUGAAUUGACGGGGA